UACGUAGGCAGCAAGCGUUGUUCGGAGUUACUGGGCGUAAAGGGUGUGUAGGCGGUUGGAUAAGUGUGGUGUGAAAUCUCCCGGCUCAACUGGGAGGGUGCGCUACAAACUGUCUGACUAGAGUGUGGGAUGGGUAAGUGGAAUUCCUGGUGUAGCGGUGAAAUGCGUAGAUAUCUGGAGGAACACCGGUGGCGAAGGCGGCGUUCUGGACGGCAUCUGACACUGAGAAACGAAAGCCAGGGGAGCAAACGGG
rnacentral:rRNA from 1 species